CAGGACGAACGCUGGCGGCGUGCCUAAUACAUGCAAGUCGAGCGGACCGACGGGAGCUUGCUCCCUUAGGUCAGCGGCGGACGGGUGAGUAACACGUGGGUAACCUGCCUGUAAGACUGGGAUAACUCCGGGAAACCGGGGCUAAUACCGGAUGCUUGAUUGAACCGCAUGGUUCAAUCAUAAAAGGCGGCUUCGGCUGCCGUUUACAGAUGGACCCGCGGCGCAUUAGCUAGUUGGUGAGGUAACGGCUCACCAAGGCGACGAUGCGUAGCCGACCUGAGAGGGUGAUCGGCCACACUGGGACUGAGACACGGCCCAGACUCCUACGGGAGGCAGCAGUAGGGAAUCUUCCGCAAUGGACGAAAGUCUGACGGAGCAACGCCGCGUGAGUGAUGAAGGUUUUCGGAUCGUAAAGCUCUGUUGUUAGGGAAGAACAAGUACCGUUCGAAUAGGGCGGUACCUUGACGGUACCUAACCAGAAAGCCACGGCUAACUACGUGCCAGCAGCCGCGGUAAUACGUAGGUGGCAAGCGUUGUCCGGAAUUAUUGGGCGUAAAGCGCGCGCAGGCGGUUUCUUAAGUCUGAUGUGAAAGCCCCCGGCUCAACCGGGGAGGGUCAUUGGAAACUGGGGAACUUGAGUGCAGAAGAGGAGAGUGGAAUUCCACGUGUAGCGGUGAAAUGCGUAGAGAUGUGGAGGAACACCAGUGGCGAAGGCGACUCUCUGGUCUGUAACUGACGCUGAGGCGCGAAAGCGUGGGGAGCGAACAGGAUUAGAUACCCUGGUAGUCCACGCCGUAAACGAUGAGUGCUAAGUGUUAGAGGGUUUCCGCCCUUUAGUGCUGCAGCAAACGCAUUAAGCACUCCGCCUGGGGAGUACGGUCGCAAGACUGAAACUCAAAGGAAUUGACGGGGGCCCGCACAAGCGGUGGAGCAUGUGGUUUAAUUCGAAGCAACGCGAAGAACCUUACCAGGUCUUGACAUCCUCUGACAUCCCUAGAGAUAGGGCUUCCCCUUCGGGGGCAGAGUGACAGGUGGUGCAUGGUUGUCGUCAGCUCGUGUCGUGAGAUGUUGGGUUAAGUCCCGCAACGAGCGCAACCCUUGAUCUUAGUUGCCAGCAUUCAGUUGGGCACUC
rnacentral:rRNA from 1 species